AAACUAUAAAUCCAACAUCACUGAAGAUUAAAAAUAGUUUACUGCAAGUGAAUAACUGCAUACAGGAAUGCUUUUGGGAACUUCACUAUUGUGUUCCUCAUCUUCAAACAUUUCAUAAAAGUCCUUUUUCACAACAAAUCUUCCAGUAACCGAGUCAACGCCAUUUUCAAACGAAUCUUCAACUCGCGGCAGACCCAGAACAAACAAGACCCCUUAUACAAACAAACCAAACCCGAAAACACUACUAAUCCAACGAGUUAAUUAAAUCAUCAAUCACCAACAUUUGCUUUUAUGUUUAGUGGGUUCGGCUGUCGAUCGAAUGAGUAGUUUUAGUUUGAUAUAGGUGUUUGGUAGUUGUAUGUUAUUGAUGUAGUUAUGCUAAUGAUGAUGUGGAAGUGCUGAUGGUUAUGAAAUCAUCUAAACAACCCAUAUGUUUUCAGUUUUUAGCUAAAUGUUACUUGUUCUGGUUUAAUUAAUAUGCUGGUGUUUAAUUAAAUGGUUCGUCUUUAAUAAAUUGCAGUGUUGAUGUUUUGUUGAAUCCCUCUUUCUGUAGGACCAUAGUUGGCAAAAUCUGCAGCACUAGUUAAACAAAUUCUAGGUGUUCGCAUGACUUGAAAAUUAGAUUGAGGUUCUACUGGUUGCACUUCAGACACAAGCACCCUAGAUGGCCUUCUAGGCACUAGUAUGGCCUAUAAAAAGGUGAAAAGAAAUCAGUUAUAAUGUCUAAAAAUUAAAUGCCGACCAAAUUUACUAAUUGUAGGAUAUUGUGAUAGAUUUGAUUACCUUUGUGGUUUCAUUCCCAAAGGGAGUUGAACUUUUUGUUUUUAUUUUUUGGAUAUAUAUCCUCUUAAGACCAUUCCUAUAACGAACAUAUCAACGUCAUACAUUAAACCCAUAAUGAGAUAUGACAUUUUCUUCUUCCUAUCUUCGUCUCUUCUUUUAUUUUCUUCUCCUUUUAGGAACAUAUCAAUCUG
rnacentral:lncRNA from 1 species